rnacentral:rRNA from 1 species
GGAGUUAGCCGGUGCUUCUUCUGUGAGUGAUGUCCUUCCUGCCGGCUAUUAACCCGCAGGCCUUCUUCCUCACUGAAAGUGCUUUACAACCCGAAGGCCUUCUUCACACACGCGGCAUGGCUGGAUCAGGGUUGCCCCCAUUGUCCAAUAUUCCCCACUGCUGCCUCCCGUAGGAGUCUGGGCCGUGUCUCAGUCCCAGUGUGGCUGAUCAUCCUCUCAGACCAGCUACGGAUCGUCGCCUUGGUGAGCCGUUACCUCACCAACCAGCUAAUCCGACAUAGGCUCAUCCGAUAGCGCGAGGCCCGAAGGUCCCCCGCUUUCCCCCGUAGGGCGUAUGCGGUAUUAGCCUGGGUUUCCCCAGGUUAUCCCCCACUACCGGGCAGAUUCCUAUGCAUUACUCACCCGUCCGCCGCUCGCCACCAGGGAGCAAGCUCCCCGUGCUGCCGCUCGACUUGCAUGUGUAGCUCGCCGCCACGCGUCAUCUGAGCAGAAUACAACUACUGA